rnacentral:rRNA from 1 species
UCUGGCGACCUUAGCGAGGCGGUCCCACUCCUUCCCAUUCCGAACAGGACAGUGAAACGCCUCAGCGCCGAUGAUAGUGCGGAGCUCCCGUGUGAAAGUAGGUCAUCGCCAGAC